rnacentral:rRNA from 1 species
AUUGAACGCUGGCGGCAUGCUUUACACAUGCGAGUCGAACGGUAACAGGCCUUCGGGUGCUGACGAGUGGCGAACGGGUGAGUAAUGCAUCGGAACGUGCCCAGAGGUGGGGGAUAACGCAGCGAAAGCUGUGCUAAUACCGCAUGUGAUCUGAGGAUGAAAGCGGGGGACCAGGCAGCAAUGUUUGGCCUCGCGCCUUUGGAGCGGCCGAUGUCAGAUUAGGUAGUUGGUGGGGUAAAGGCCUACCAAGCCGACGAUCUGUAGCUGGUCUGAGAGGACGACCAGCCACACUGGGACUGAGACACGGCCCAGACUCCUACGGGAGGCAGCAGUGGGGAAUUUUGGACAAUGGGCGCAAGCCUGAUCCAGCCAUGCCGCGUGCGGGAAGAAGGCCUUCGGGUUGUAAACCGCUUUUGUACGGAACGAAAAGGAUCUGGCUAAUACCUGGGGCUGAUGACGGUACCGUAAGAAUAAGCACCGGCUAACUACGUG